GCUGUGGCUCGGUGUUAGCGCAUCUGUUUAGCAUGCUGAUGGUCCUAGGUUCAACCCCUGGCAUCUCCA